ACAGCAGCAGCCACGGUAAUACAGAGGGUGCGAGCGUUAAUCGGAUUUACUGGGCGUAAAGCGUGCGUAGGCGGCUUUUUAAGUCGGAUGUGAAAUCCCUGAGCUUAACUUAGGAAUUGCAUUCGAUACUGGGAAGCUAGAGUAUGGGAGAGGAUGGUAGAAUUCCAGGUGUAGCGGUGAAAUGCGUAGAGAUCUGGAGGAAUACCGAUGGCGAAGGCAGCCAUCUGGCCUAAUACUGACGCUGAGGUACGAAAGCAUGGGGAGCAAACAGGAUUAGAUACCCAAGUAGUCCCUGUCUCUUAUAC
rnacentral:rRNA from 1 species